rnacentral:rRNA from 1 species
GAUGAACGCUGGCGGCGUGCCUAAUACAUGCAAGUCGAGCGAACGGGCGAGAAGCUUGCUUCUCUGAUGUUAGCGGCGGACGGGUGAGUAACACGUGGAUAACCUACCUAUAAGACUGGGAUAACUUCGGGAAACCGUAGCUAAUACCGGAUAAUAUUUUGAACCGCAUGGUUCAAAAGUGAAAGACGGUCUUGCUGUCACUUAUAGAUGGAUCCGCGCUGCAUUAGCUAGUUGGUAAGGUAACGGCUUACCAAGGCAACGAUGCAUAGCCGACCUGAGAGGGGGAUGGGCCACACUGGAACGGAGACCCGGCCAAACCGCCUAGGGGAGGCGGCAGUAGGGAAUCUUCCGCAAUGAGCGAAAGCUGGACGGAGCAACGCGGCGUAAGGAAUAAAGGUCUCCGGAUCGUAAGACUCUGUGAUAAGGGAAGAACAUAUUUGUAAGUAACUGUGCACAUCUUGACGGUACCUAAUCAGAAAGCCACGGCUAACUACGUG